UCAGAUUGAACGCUGGCGGCAUGCUUUACACAUGCAAGUCGAACGGUAACAGGUCUUCGGAUGCUGACGAGUGGCGAACGGGUGAGUAAUGCAUCGGAACGUGCCCAGUCGUGGGGGAUAACGCAGCGAAAGCUGUGCUAAUACCGCAUACGAUCUAUGGAUGAAAGCGGGGGAUCGCAAGACCUCGCGCGAUUGGAGCGGCCGAUGUCAGAUUAGCUAGUUGGUGGGGUAAAGGCCCACCAAGGCGACGAUCUGUAGCUGGUCUGAGAGGACGACCAGCCACACUGGGACUGAGACACGGCCCAGACUCCUACGGGAGGCAGCAGUGGGGAAUUUUGGACAAUGGGCGCAAGCCUGAUCCAGCAAUGCCGCGUGCAGGAAGAAGGCCUUCGGGUUGUAAACUGCUUUUGUACGGAACGAAAAGGUCUGGGUUAAUACCCUGGGCUCAUGACGGUACCGUAAGAAUAAGCACCGGCUAACUACGUGCCAGCAGCCGCGGUAAUA
rnacentral:rRNA from 1 species